rnacentral:piRNA from 1 species
UACCAUGAUGUAUACGGCAUU